rnacentral:rRNA from 1 species
GGGGAAUAUUGGACAAUGGGCGCAAGCCUGAUCCAGCCAUGCCGCGUGUGUGAAGAAGGCCUUCGGGUUGUAAAGCACUUUUGUACGGGAAGAAAAGCACUCGGUUAAUACCCGGGUGUCAUGACGGUACCGUAAGAAUAAGCACCGGCUAACUUCGUGCCAGCAGCCGCGGUAAUACGAAGGGUGCAAGCGUUACUCGGAAUUACUGGGCGUAAAGCGUGCGUAGGUGGUUUGUUAAGUCUGAUGUGAAAGCCCUGGGCUCAACCUGGGAAUUGCAUUGGAUACUGGCAGUCUAGAGUGCGGUAGAGGGUAGCGGAAUUCCCGGUGUAGCAGUGAAAUGCGUAGAUAUCGGAAGGAACACCAGUGGCGAAGGCGGCCAUCUGGACGGUGACUGACGCUGAGACGCGAAAGCGUGGGGAGCAAA